rnacentral:rRNA from 1 species
UACGUAGGUGGCAAGCGUUGUCCGGAUUUACUGGGCGUAAAGAGCGCGCAGGCGGUCGUGCAAGUCGCGUGUGAAAGCCCCCGGCUCAACUGGGGAGGGUCACGCGAUACUGCUCGACUCGAAGGCAGGAGAGGGAAGUGGAAUUCCCGGUGUAGUGGUGAAAUUCGUAGAUAUUCGGAAGAACACCAGUGGCGAAGGCGACUUACUGGACACAUAUUGACGCUGAGGUGCGAAAGCGUGGGGAGCAAACAGG